GUAUGAGGUAGGGUGAUUGAUGAGACACGUGCUUCAUUACUUCCAGAUAUUGUGGAGGCCUUGAUCACUUGCAAUGAUUGGAUUGAAUCAACCAAAAAUAGAAAUGUAGACGAAUGCUGACAUGAGUAGAUGGAUUGAAUUGAAUCACUUGGAGAAGUUAUCUUAAGUUAUCUUACGUUGCAGCCUUGUCACUGUCG